AAACAGACCGAAUCACAAAUCGCCUGAAAUGAACAUGAGAGUUUUCUACAAGAGUCUGUUGUUUUUACUGGGGUUUUUCUCAGUUCAGACGAAGACAGAAAUAGAAGUGAAUGUAGCAGCAUGGGGAAAAGCCGAUCAGUCGACAACAUAUGAAAACUGUGAUGCUCAAAGAGCACUGGAUGGGAUAAACUACACUUUUACUCAUACAGAAGAAAAGA